ACCACUCGAACUCCUCUCUCUUCCUCUCCCUAUGCGGCCAAUCUGCUCUCGCACCCAACCCUAGCUCUCGAUGAUGCGCCACUGCCCACCAUCUUUCCCCACCGACUGCCUGCUUUGCCACCACCCCACCUUCUCCCCCGGAUGCAACAUCUUCCCCACCGAUGCAGCACAUCUGAAACGAAUGAGCGCAGCACCUCCUCUCCCGGAUUCCAUCGCAUCCCAUGGUCACCGCCCUCGUCUACCUCGGCGCCACGCUUCCCCACCGACGACCUCAAUGCCCAUCUCCCCCACCGGCGCCACCCCCACCAACAUUCUCUCUCUCUUCCCUUGGCUGGUGCACACUUGUGGAGGAAGAUCCAUGACGCGCCACCUCCGCCCCAUCGUCGGCGGUGGCUGCUCGUCAAUGGUCGUGGUCCGGAAGCCCAGCUUCGCCUGGGCAUGAAGGAUUUGCGCAAGGGCCGCGCUGGCUGAGGAGCCCCCAUGCUCGGCCGCCACUUGGUUCACUCCUCUUCUUUCAGCCGCCGGGAGAGGAGCUCAUGGCGGUGAUGCUACCGGGUCUGUGACGGAGGUGCUUGAGGUCGCGCGCAGCAACAGGAGGCCGAAAUGUUUUGACCACGGAUGGGACUAUCGCAGUUGCUUCUGCGUUUCGUGGGCAUCUGGAAGGGAUCACAAGUUCUUGUCAAAAGCGAUGGAAGAGGGAGUUGACUGUGGCCAUGGAGGCAUGUUUGGCUCUGACGCCAUGGAUGUCGUUGUGCUCUCUCAUCGUACCUCCCUGGCCCCUAGGCACAUCGGGCCGCUGUCCUACUUCUAGUUUCACAUGCUAAUGGUGAUAAGUGGAAGUCCCUGAGUGAUGUUGUUCCAUGGAAGAUGCCCAUCCACGUGGAAGCAACAAUUCUAUUUCAAGGCCUCCCUCUACAUCUCCCUGUUUCAAUUUCUAGGCUUAGUCCCUAAUUUCUGCUGCUCCAAAUUUUCUUAUAUGCUUGACUAAAUUUCAUUGUUUGCCAAUUAAAUUGCUUGCUUGAUGCCCCAAAAAUUCAGUGCAAUUUUGUUUACCAAUUGGUUUGGUUGGAUUUGUCCCAAGUUAACUGUAGUUGUUACAAAAUAGAUGGCUAUUGUCCAAUUGGUUCAGUAGAACAAAACUAGAUGGCUGACAUGUGUUGUUUGCUGAUAAUUAACAAUGUUGGGGCGUUGUAUUGAGGUUAACCUGUGAAGAAUACUUACUUAUGGUCUGACUGGACUUCUUUUAUAUGUCCAACUGAACUACACACACACAUAUAUACCCACAUGUCAAAUAUAUGUUGUUGUAUUAUGCUUAUGCUACUUGUAUCACCAAUGUUUUCUCACUCUGGUACCUUUAUCUUUCUUUAUGUUCUUACCUAACCUUUUACUAAUAUGUACUCUUUGCUCACAAUUAAGUUGUAUAAGUUAGGCUGCGAUGUUAAGGCUAACCUGAUAACACUUGCUUAUGAGAACCAAUUGGACUUCUUCGAUAUAUUCAAGUGAAGAUGUACUAUUACUACUGUAGUGAACUUUGUCUAUGUUUGAUUAGAAUCUAAGUGUCGUCAUUCAUAUUAUGGUAUCCUGUUCUCUGUGAGAACUGUUGACUUGCAAGAUGAAUGCAUUCUUCUAUCCAGCUUUAGUUGUCUUUCAUUGUUUUGUACUAGCAUUCAGCCCCUCACCCAACUCGCUCAUGAUGCACGACAGCAACAACGGGAAGAUCAUGCUAGUCUGCAUCAUCAGGCACACCAUGGAGAUCAUCCACCUCCUCACCAAUGCCAACCCCAUCCAGAUCAUCGUUGGCGCCAUCAUUAACUGGAUAAGGCUCCCUACAUUGCUCUGGAAACUUGCUGUGUGCAGGGCGACUAGUGAUGCGGCACACCAAGCAGCAGCACUAAUUGAUGAAGGAUGGUUGUUGUUAGUUUAGCUCGUUGCAAG